GGGGCUGUAGCUCAGUUGGUAGAGCGCAUCGUUCGCAAUGAUGAGGUCGUCGGUUCGAUCCCGAUCAGCUCCACCA
rnacentral:tRNA from 1 species